AUCCCCACUGGUGGAAUAAAGGCCAGAAUGAUUAAUCAUUAUAUGAUACAUUUGAUUCUUAAGAAUUUCGUUUGCCGUUUGGUAUUCACUUUGCAAAGGAAUGAAACAAAGUGAUAYAGAAUUGCAUCAAAUACAAAUGGUCUGGUGGUGAAAUAGUAAUCUCAUGGUAAAAAGAGCUUGUACAACUUUGUAACAACAUUAUACUAACAUGAGUGAAUUAACGAAUCAAAAAAAAAAAUGAAAAUGAAUUAAAUUGAAAAUACACUUUACAUCAACAUUUCAAUAAAAAAUUAAAUUAAAAYAAAUGAUUACAUAAAAAGGAACUGUAGCUGUAUUACAUCUAAACUUAACAUUGCAAUAAACAACUUGAAAGAUACCCAUAUGAGAUAAUUAAUUUUAUUAUGCUCUGGGUAUACCAYGCCCUGCAAUGCGUUAAACGAAUGUGAAUGGACSUUGAAAUUGAGCUAAUUUMCUUGUCCCCAAGAAUUUUCCAUUUUAAUUCUGGACUACURUUUGUCCAGUCUCGCCAUUCCAAAGUGAUGGUAAGUUUUCUGGUGCUUUGUUUAUUUAAGCAAUCAUUAAGAAACGAAAUUACUCUAUUAAACAAAUCAAUCAGGCAAAAGGUUGCACUAAAGAAAUCGUGUUAAAAAUUAAUGGAUGAAGCUGUAACGGAUUGAAGAAUUAUACAAUGCGAUGUUUCAGAUUAGUCARUCAAUUGGACAAAUAGGUGAAAGUGAUGUAGUGGAAUUUGCAACACUCACAAAUUUCCCCGAUGAUAAUGCUAUCUUUCCUUUUGACCAUUACAUAGACAAUCAAGAAUACGAAAAAGAGAGUAGAAGAGAGAUAUCAAAUUGAAAGUAGCAACAAAAUAAAAACUUUAUAACACAGUGUUCUUCAUUGAUACUAAUCGGGUAGGAAUAUCGAUGGCUUAUGUACAACCAACUAGAAAUUCAAAGAUUCAAUCUGCUUCUUCAAACCUUGCCACUAAGCUAUGGAAAGAAUGACGCUCUUGCUUGCUUCAGAACCUUGGCUUAUUUUCAGAAUUUCAACAGUUGCGGGUUCAUUCUUGUUGUUGAGGACUGUGACUUUUAAGACUCUCAUGGUUGUAAUGACUAAACCGACUGUUUUUCUUCAAUUUAUAUAGAGAAGUUAAACUUUUUUUAUCCAUGAUGGUAGCAAUAAACUAUUAUUACAAC